AUUGAACGCUGGCGGCAGGCCUACCACAUGCAUGUCGAGCGGAGCGACCGCCGGGUGAGUAAUGCCUAGGAAUCUGCCUCGUAGUCGUGGAUAACGUCAGGAUACGGGCGCUAAUACCGCCUACUAUCAGGUGCGCCUAGGUCGGAUUAGGUAGUUGGUGGGGUAAAGGCCUACCAAGGCUAUGCUCCGUAAUUGGUCUGAGAGGAUGAUCAGGCACACUGGAAGUGAGACACGGUCCAGUCUCCUACGGGAGGUCGCAGUGGGGAAUAUUGGACAAUGGGCGAAAGCCUGAUCCAGGCAUGCCGCGUGUGUGAAGAAGGUCUUCGGAUUGUAAAGCACUUUAAGUUGGGAGGCGUUACCAACAGGAUAGGCACCGGCUAACGUCGUGCCAGCAGCCACGGUAAUAC
rnacentral:rRNA from 1 species